UUCGUGAUCAAGCCUGACCCCUUAAU
rnacentral:miRNA from 1 species